GGGAAACGUGUGAAAAUUCAAGUAAUCAAGCAAUCAAAGGUGGUGAAUCCUCCGAUAAGGAUAAAGAAAUUGUACCCGAGGGUCGAUAGUCGGAGCACUCUAAAAAAAUUCGACUCCCGAAAUAGCUCAGGAUAGUCGGUAGAUAGCUCAUUGCGUUGAG